rfam:Oryza glumipatula chromosome 1, whole genome shotgun sequence.
UUUAAGUGCAACCAGAAGUUUUCUGUGCCCAACUUUGAUCAUCCGUCUUAUUUAAAAAUUUUUAUAAUUAGUAUUUUUAUUGUUAUGAGAUGAUAAAAUAUGAAUAGUACUUUAUACGUAAUAUGUUUUUAAAUUUUUAAAAAUUUUCAAAUAAUAUGGACAGUUAAAAGUUGUACAUGAAAAAAUCAUGGUUGCACUUAAA